rnacentral:rRNA from 1 species
GACGAACGCUGGCGGCGUGCUUAACACAUGCAAGUCGAACGAAGUGGCGAACGGGUGAGUAACGCGUAAUCAACCUGCCCUUCAGGGGGGGAAAACAGGUGGAAACGACUGCUAAUCCCGCAUACUGAAGGAGGGGAUUGCGGCGGAUUAGCUAGUUGGCGGGGUAACGGCCCACCAAGGCGAAGAUCCGUAGCCGGUCUGAGAGGAUGAACGGCCACAUUGGGACUGAGACACGGCCCAGACUCCUACGGGAGGCAGCAGUGGGGAAUCUUCCGCAAUGGACGAAAGUCUGACGAAGCAACGCCGCGUGAGUGAUGACUGCCUUCGGGUUGGAAAGCUCUGUUGAUCGGGACGCGCUACCGGAAUAGAAAGCCACGGCUAACUACGUGCCAGCAGCCGCGGUAAUAC